rnacentral:tRNA from 1 species
GGCAGCCGUGGCCUACUGGUUAGCGCUUUCGGACUUGUAACCGGAGGGUUGCCGGUUCAAACCCCGACCGGUAGGCCA